rnacentral:rRNA from 1 species
GAUGAACGCUGGCGGCGUGCCUAAUACAUGCAAGUCGAGCGAACAGACGAGGAGCUUGCUCCUCUGACGUUAGCGGCGGACGGGUGAGUAACACGUGGAGAACCUACCUAUAAGACGGGGAUAACUUCGGGAAACCGGAGCUAAUACCGGAUAAUAUAUUGAACCGCAUGGUUCAAUAGUGAAAGACGGUUUUGCUGUCACCUAUAGAUGGAUCCCCUCCGCGUUAGCUAGUUGGUAAGGUAACGGCCUACCAAGGCGACAAUGCGUAGCCGACCUGAGAGGGUGAUCGCCCACACUGGAACUGAGACACGGUCCAGACUCCUACGGGAGGCAGCAGUAGGGAAUCUUCCGCAAUGGGCGAAAGCCUGACGGAGCAACGCCGCGUGGGUGAUGAAGGUCUUCGGAUCGUAAAACUCUUUUAUUAGGGAAGAACAAAUGUGUAAGUAACUAUGCACGUCUUGACGGUACCUAAUCAGAAAGCCACGGCUAACUACGUG